GAAGUCCUUGCCUGUCAAUCAUGCCCCCAUGGAGGAUCCUGGCUAUAACGAGGUCGUCUUUCUCGACGCGAAAGGUGACGCCCUGCGAGGGAAAACGAAGAGCUCGGAGCAUCUGUCACUCCCGCUUCCUCGCAAUGACGUGACAAUCACAAAGAAGGUCACGGGAGCUCGAUGCAGCACCGGGAGUCCAGAUGUCGCUCUAGGGGCCUUGGUCCAGGACGAGCGAUUUACAACAUGAGGUCUACCUUGUACUCGGUCGGGCCUAAGUACGAUCGUCAUAUGGCAGAUAAUGUUUCCAUCUUGUCCAGAAUCUCAUCGGAUGAUCCAGGUGCACCUCCACUGUCGAAUAUGCGACUUUGGACAGGAAUUGACUCCUCCCACCCGACCGCCCUUCCCCGCCUCUCGCCCGCCUGCCUCUGCCUCCGCACCAACCCCAAUAGUCCCUUUAAGACCACGGCGGCCUCGGAAAACUGCAGUUUCACAACCUCCGUUAAUGACCACGAUUGGGAGACGGUGGUGAAUGAACAGGAUAGGGAGGAGCACCGAUGAUCCAUGUUCCAUUGUCGGAUGCCAAAUGAACGUCAAAACGAAUGCGUCUUUUUGUGAGUAUUGCGUGCAUGUUGCCACACGUGCGGCCAUUUUUUUAGUCAUCCUUUGUGGUGUGUACGCUUGCUACUCCGACACAGUCACCGCGUUCUAGCCCAGGGAGCAAAGAAAAAGAGACACAUCCAUCCGUGUCCCACAAUUGGUGCCCGCGUGCCGCAUAAUGACAGCUGCUCACGCGACCUACCAACGCGCCCCUCCAACUCUUCACACGCGACAAACUGUCAAUCUGAUUCCCAUUCAAAUGGAAGAAUAAACCAAAAAGAAGGCGGUAGGAAGCGGUUUCUUACCUUUAA